UCUUGGUCUUCUGCGAGAACAAAGUCGACGUGGACACCAUCCAAGAGUAUCUCCUUUACAAGGGAGUCGAAGCCGUCUCGAUCCACGGAGACAAAGACCAAGCCGACCGAGAGGAAGCGAUCAAAUUCUUCAAAGCGGGGAAAAAGGACGUCCUGGUCGCCACGGAUGUUGCCUCGAAGGGUUUGGAUUUCCCCGACAUCCAGCACGUCAUCAACUACGACAUGCCGGCGGAGAUUGAGAACUACGUCCACAGGAUCGGACGAACCGGAAGGUGCGGCAAGACUGGGAUCGCUACGACUUUUAUUAACAAUACCCAGAGCGAGACUACGUUGCUCGAUUUGAAGCACCUGUUGCAAGAAGCUAAGCAGAGGAUCCCGCCCAUUCUGGCCGAGUUGGAUGAUCCGAUGGAGUUUGGAGACGAGAUUCAAAAUGCGAGGUGAGUUAAAGGUUGCGCUUAUUGUGGUGGUCUUGGUCAUCGCAUCGGCGAUUGCCCUAAGCUUGAGCACCAGAGUAGCCAGCAGCUUGCGAACUCCAGGAGGGAUUACUUUGGCUCUGGUGGAUAUAGGGGAGAAAUGUAAGAGAUGAUGUAGUAGUAGUAAUAUACUUUGUACCAUCUAUGCAACUCUUUUGAGCAUGUUUCAAAGUGUCCAACUCACUUUUUUUAAAUCGAUUCGGUCGAAUCCUUUCGAGUGAGUAUUAUUCGACUCGCAAUUUUGAAAUAGUAGGCUUUGUGAACACACUUUAGCUUUAUGAACUAGUCAUCUAUCUUAGUUUGGUUUUCCUUUUAGGGUAUUAACCCAAACAAUCGUGUCCGAUAGUUGAACCGAUGAGAGCAAGGGGUUGUAGACUCGUAGUUGGUCGGGCUGAGUACAUUUAAACGAUUGAUUGACCGAAUGUGAUUGGUUAAUUAAUUUUAACCGUUAACUGUAACCAAAUUGUCAACCCUCUGAGCAACGGCUAAAACGAACCAUAAUAAUAAUUAGAAGUUACAAAACCCCAGUUAAACGGUUAUGUGAUAUUGGUAUCAACUGGUUUGAAUCGGUUUAACCGGCUGGUUGAUUUUGAGAUGUUCAAAUCAUCAACUUGGCGGUAAAAAUAUAUAGUUGUGAAUAAAAGUGGCAGUCGCCGGAGCAAUUUUGAAUUUUUCACCGGCGCUGUCAAUGGGCUAACCUCUGUAUGAAUGCCGCCGUUCAACAGCAACAAGAUUGCAGAUUUUCUACGUAGUUCUUGUAGCGUUCCUCAAGUCGAGCAUCUCCAUGGUUUCCUCGUCACUUCCAGCCAAUUCCAGCACAAAGCUCCUUCGUCGUCCCUCUUUCUCCGCCGCCGUCUCCACUUCUUUGUCCACCCACCCACCACAACCAAACGAUGGAACGUCGUUAUCAGAGGCGUAUCAGAAAGUCACGGACCUUCAGCAGCUCUUGCUCAAUACCGGAAGAUGCGGCACAACAGUUUCCAUCCCGACGAGCACACGUUUCUACUGCUUCUCAAGUUGUUCUCCAAGUUGAAAGACCGAGAUCCAAUGGUUCUCUAUCCUGAAAUUAUCAAGCAUGGACUUGAUCUCGACUGCUUCGUUAGGAACUCUUUGAUUUCUUCUCUGUCAAACUACGGGAACUUGAAUUUUGCCCGCCAUGUGUUUGAUGAAAGUCCGCUGAAGGAAAUCGUGGCUUGGACUGAGAUGAUCAAAGGGAAUGUCUUCGAUGUUUCCUGACGAUGAGAUCGAUUGGUGUAAAGGUCGAUGAAUUUUCAGUCGUGAGUGCUCUCCUUGCAGCUGGAAUGAUGAAUGAUGUCUGGAUUGGGAGAUGGAUUCAUGGAUUCUACAUAGAAUCAGGCAGGGUCAAAUGGGAUGCAUUCAUCGGGAGUGGAUUGGUUGACAUGUACAUGAAAUGUAGCUACUCCAACGACGCCCGUCAAGUGUUCGACGAAAUUCUAAUAAGGAACGUUAUCUCCUGGAUCGGCUUAAUCGCUGGGUUUGUACACCUCAACAGAUACAACGAAGCAUUACUAUCCUUUCAAGAUAUGCUAAUCGACAAUGUCGAACCAAACCCUAAAACUCUAACACGCGUCCUUACAGCUUGCGCUCAACUCGGCGCAUUGGAAUAAGGCAAAUGGAUCCACGGGACAUCCUUGAUCGACAUGUACAUGAAAUGUGAUUGCAUCAACGAGGCACGUUUCAUCAUCGAUAAGUUACCAAAAAAAGGUCUAUACACUGUGGAAAUAUGUACCUGGGUUCGGCCUUGGUGUGAUGGCAGCACCAUGACUUGACCUUGGUGCGAUGCCGGAGUUGGGACGGAUGCGUGAACUCAAGGGAAACCUCACAUUAGUUCAGAGCAAGCUGGAACUAGCUGGCAUAAGCUCCUCUAUGAGCUAGGUGAUGCUAGGGAGUGACACUCAAGCUCGUCCAGCUCAACCUUGAGCUGGAUGUUAGUGUCACUAGCUACGAUGCUAAGCUGAGCUACAGUGAUGGUAGGGAGCUAGGUAGUUGGGAUGGUUACUCCUUCUCUUAUGACGAAUGGGUACACACCUCUUCGUGAGAUUCAAACUCAUUUAUGAGUUGUUUUCCCUCCAAACCCAUAGGACUUCAAGGUGGUUACCUUCUAGUCUAUCCAUGGGGACAAUGUCUCCUCUUGGUGCAUGCAUUCGUACCCCUUCAGUCCUGAACCCCUUUGCCUAUAUAAAGAAGGCAGUAGUGUGGGAGAACAUACACAAAAAACAUCUAUCCUAGUCUACGAUUCUAAGUGACUCUAGUUUCUAAAGUCUAAGAACUUGAGUGGAGACGGUCUUAUCCUCGGAAGGGAUUUCCUGAUACCCAAGGCUUGUAGGGUGGAAAUACUCUUUUCGGAAAGUGGUCUCACCACAUUAAAGGUUGUGUAUGUUCUCUUUACACCAUAUCCUCCAGAGUCUGAGGAGGAGACAAAGAUGGACAAUAAAAAGGAGGAAAGGGUACGAAAGCAACAGAAGUGGGACAAUGACGAUUACAUAUGUCGUGGCCAUAUUCUGAAUGACAUGACAGAUUCAUUGUUUGAUAUCUAUCAAAAUUAUGAAUUGAUCCAUGAGUUGUGGGAUGCGCUGGAGUCAAAGUAUUUGGCUGAGGAUGCUUCAAGCACGAAGUUCCUGGUUAUUAAUUUCUUAAAUUACAAGAUGAUCGAGACGAGACCGAUCAUGAAGCACGAAGACCCUAGUGUGAAAUUGAUGCCCAACACAAGAAUUGCAGUGUCUCUACUCGAGUACUCACAAGUGCUUGGCUGCUUGAUGUAUGCCAUGACAAGCACAAAGCCUGAGAUCGCUUAUGCGGUUGGAAAAUUGAGUAGAUAUACGAGUAAUACUAUUACUCAUCAUUGGCAUGCAAUCAGACGAGUACUUGGUUACCUUAAAGGAACCAUGGAUUAUGGUUUAACGUAUAAGGGGUGUCCAUAGGUUAUUGAAGGGUACUCGGAUGCAAGUUGGAUAUCCAAUAUGGAGGAUCACACCUCCACUACUGGAUGGGUAUUCCUACUUGGAGGAGGUGCAAUUUCGUGGGCUUCCAAGGAGCAAACUUGCAUCACAACAUCCACUAUGGAAUCUAAAUUCAUAGCAUUAGCGGCUGCUGGCAAGGAGGCAGAAUGGCUAAGGGACCUAGUCUAUGAGAUUCCACUAUGGCCGAAACCUAUCUCUACCGAUUUCUAUCUUAUGUGAUAGUAAUGCUACUCUUUAGAGCAUAUAGUCAGGUCUAUAAUGGCAAGUCUCGUCAUUUAGGGGUGAGGCAUAGUGUUGUUCGUGAACUGAUCACUCACGGGACAAUCACGGUGCAAUAUGUUCGGUCUGAGCAAAAUCUGGCUGAUCACUUGACAAAGGGAUUAGCGAGAGAUUUGGUUGCCAAAUCGGCAGGAGGGGUGGCACUAAAGCUGGAUAGUUCUCCAAACGUAGGACACCCAAUUCCCCCUCUAAUACAACGUUAGAGGCAGAAUUCAAUGCGGAAAGCCUACGAAUGGAAACUGGAGCACAAGGUUUGCACCAUCCCGAAGGUAUGUGCUCCGGAACCUGCGAGUGAUAGAGGUUGAAGUUUAACUUCUUAAUUGAUUCCUUGACAAAGUGUAUACGCAGGUACACAAGAAAGGAGUUGACAUAUACGAGCAUGAGCCGCUUCAAGGAACUUGGACUUGGUUUCGUGUGCGCUCGUGAGAGGAUUCAGACACAUGGCAGUCAAUAGUGUCGAGAUAUCUUGGAAUAGAUAGGAGAAACUCUUGUGUAUAUUAUCUUCAGAUACUCAAAUGAGUAGACAGGGUUCAAUCCAUAGAGACACCCCUAUAUUCGAGUAUUUUGGAAUGUGUAAUGUACUAGAUGAAAAUUCAAUCUUCGUGACAUUUUCAUUGAUGCAAGUGUCUUCGGAUUGGAUAUUUGUUAAUUUUAGCGAAAUCACAGACUUCACUAAAAUGGGGGAGGAAUGUUGGAAAUAUACACCAUGGACUUGACCUUGGUGUGAUACCAAAGAUANNNNNNNNNNNNNNNNNNNNNNNNNNNNNNNNNNNNNNNNNNNNNNNNNNNNNNNNNNNNNNNNNNNNNNNNNNNNNNNNNNNNNNNNNNNNNNNNNNNNNNNNNNNNNNNNNNNNNNNNNNNNNNNNNNNNNNNNNNNNNNNNNNNNNNNNNNNNNNNNNNNNNNNNNNNNNNNNNNNNNNNNNNNNNNNNNNNNNNNNNNNNNNNNNNNNNNNNNNNNNNNNNNNNNNNNNNNNNNNNNNNNNNNNNNNNNNNNNNNNNNNNNNNNNNNNNNNNNNNNNNNNNNNNNNNNNNNNNNNNNNNNNNNNNNNNNNNNNNNNNNNNNNNNNNNNNNNNNNNNNNNNNNUAAGAACUUGAGUGGAGAUGGUCUUAUCCUCGGAAGGGAUUUCCUGAUACCCAAGGCUUGUAAGGGUGGAAAUACUCUUUUCGGAAAGUGGUGCCCACGAUUCCGUCUUGAUCCUAGAUCUCUUCUUCUAUCAACACUCGAACGAUUGGUACUUGGAACCUCAUAGCCAACACACUGAAGCUCGUUGAGCUCAACCUUGCUGGAUGUUAGUGUCACUAGCUGCGGUGAUGAGCUGAGCUAAAGUGAUGGUAGGGAGCUAGGUAGUUUGGGGUGGUUACUCCUUCUCCUAGGACGAAUGGGUACACACCUCUUCAUGAGAUCCGAACUCAUUUCUGAGUUGUUUUCCCUCCAAACCCAUAGGACUUCAAGGUGUUUACCUUUAAGUAUAUCCAUGGGGGAUAAUGACUCCUCUUGGUGCAUGCAUUCGUACCCCUUCAGUCCUGGACCCCUUUGCCUAUAUAAAGAAGGAAGUAGUGUGGAGAACAUACACAGAAAACAUCUAUCCUAGCCUACGUUCUAUGUGACUCUAGAUUCUAAAGUCUAAGAACUUGAUGGUGACGGUCUUAUCCUCGGAAGGGAUUUCCUAUCCUCGGAAGGAAUUUCCUGAUACCCAAGGCUUGUAGGGUGGAAAUACUCUUAUUGGAAAGUGGUACCCACGAUUCCAUCUUGAUCCUAGAUCUCAUCACCUAUCAAAACUCGAAACAUUGCUACUUGGAACCUCCUGAUCUAACAUACACUUGGAUCGCCAUGAUCAAUGGUUUCGCCAUGAAAGGCGACGCAUCAGGUUCAUUGUGAUUUUUCUCCCGCUUGAUGAGCUCUGGAAUCCAGCCGAACAAGGUCACAUUCCUCGCUGUCCUUGGCGCAUGUUCUCACAACGGAUUAGUACACGAAGGUCGUAAAUUGUUUCGAGAAGAUGAAUGGAGAAUUCGAUCUAGAACCUGACGUUGGCCAUUACAGUUGCAUGGUGGACUUGCUAGGCCGAGCGAGGUACUCGGACGAGGCGAUGGAGGUGAUCAAGGGGAUUCCAAUGGAGCCGAGUUUCGGAGUGUGGGGUGCUCUGCUUGGUCCGUGUGUGAUUCAUUAGGAUUUCGAGCUAUGCGAAUGGAUUGGCAACCGUUUGGUGAAGCUCGAACCGGACCAUGGCGGUUGUACUGGUGGUGACUAUAGCUCGCUGCUGGCGAAUGUGUAUUCAGCAAGGGGGAAGUGGGAUGAUGCCACUAGUGUAAGGAAGGUGAUGAAAGGGAAGAGGAUUGGAGUCAGCUGGAUCGAUGUGAAUGGGGAGAAUUGCGAGUUUGUUGCCUUUGAUGUGUCUCAUCAAUGUUGGGAAGAGUUGUGUCGAAUUCUUGAGACUUUCAUUUGAAUUUGGGAUUUAGUCGAAAGUGAUUUAAAAUAGUUAUUGAUUUUGUAAAUAAUUUACUUUGUUGGUCGAGUUUUGGAAACCAGAAGAGAAAUUCUAACUAAUUACACAUAAUACUAUCGAAAGUCUAGUAUGUCUUGAGAGAGUGGACAAAGCCUUAGAGAUAUCCGAUGCCGGCAAGAAGGGAGACACCAAGCAUGCCCACGUCAGCAUCUUCAGCAAAAUCCACUUGACGGAGGAUCUGAGAGUCUGUGUCCGGGCAAUGUGCUUCUCCACAGGGAAAUACACCGUCAGUAGCUAGAAGGAAACAGCUCAGAACAGUCCCGAAUAUGGCAAUGGAGAGUCCAAGGCCGAUGCUCGAAUAGCCAAAAGAUAUGAUUGAAGCCAUAACUGAUAGCCAUGAAAAUUUGUGAAACUCGGGGAUCUGGCUCAAUAUCAGCUGGAUGCACCCGUAUAUCACCAUGUUACGGGUUGUUCGGGACGUUCGUGUGACACUCCCUGUCCCCUUCCGUGUGAAAGCAAUUUAAUUUCUUCACAUGCCUGCACACAUAUAAUGAUAAUCAUGAGUAAAUCAACAAAAUGAUAGGUAGGUACGAUGAUAAAAAUGCAUUUGGUCACAUGUGAAGACAAUUUAAAACUUUAGUGACUAAUUCUGUUAUUAACGGAGAGUUUGGUCACAGAUUGUAUUUCUGCUGCUAAUAAGUUAAUUAGUAAUAGAAAUUACUGUGACUAAUAUCCCAUAACCCGUCACUAAUCAUGCAUUUUUUCAUGUAGUGAAUAGUGACGUCACAUUAAUUAUAUACACCAUGCUAAUUAGUAAUUAGUACUUACGCGAGGCUAAUGGAGGCAGUAAUGACGUAACCGACGGUGGUCCCGGCCAGAUUGCAGUACUGUGCGACCCCGCAAAGUCGGACCUUCCUCUCACCCAAACUCGACCGAACUGCAGCCAUGUAGGUAGGGUUUCGGCUCCCUGAAUCCUGCGAGCGAUAUGAAUCGGCGAGCCGGGUGGAAGUGAACCAAGUGAUGGCCGAAAAUGCGACUAGCACCGCUGGCCCGGCUACCCAUCCCAACUGGGCGAUCAGACCAAUCUAGGGAGCGCACACCAUGUCCCUGGACAGAAAUACAACAAAGCCACGGUUAAUUUAGAUCAUGAAACUAACAUCACUUGUUAAGAAAAUUUGGAAUAUGUUCUUCUUUGAGAAAUUAUAAUCAAAUAUAUAUAUCAUAAUCAUAACUGAAAAAUCGUCAUUUUUUUAAAGUAAAAUUAAUUACAGUUUCCGCUGACUAAUACAAAGUUUCAGUAGCUAAAUAUCUUUAGUCACUAGACCUUUAAUCCGAGGAGAUUGAAUGGCGAUUGUUGGUGACUGAAGGUCCUUUUUCUUGUAGUGGUCAAAAUAUUGAAGAGUGUAUGCAUAACAAGUUGUGUUUGAAUCUUGUAAGCACAAAUAAGGUCGAUGCCGACGCAGAUGUUGGCCAAGUCGAUCAACGAAAACGAUUCACGAAAUCCCGUGAAGUAGUCGCCCUGUACAUCGUUCCCGAAGGCAGCAUAUCCAAUGCAAGCACAGAGAAGGUAGAAUACCGUGGUGAUCAAGAUACCCACAGAACUUGCCUUCCUCGUUGCUUUGUUUUCAGCCUGGCCUGAUCUUAGAGUGUCCUGCAAGUAAUCACACCAAUCCAUUUGUUAGUUUAUUUGCUAUAGGUUUUGUUAAAGUCCUGAGAGAGUGGACAAGGCCUUGGAGAGUCCGAUGCCGGCCAAAAGGGAGACCACCAAGCAUGCCCACGUCACCGUCUUCAGCAGAAUCCACUUGACGAAGAAUUCGAGAGUCUUGCAUCUCCACAGGAAAAUACACCGACAGUGGCCAGAAGAAAACAGCUCUGAGCAAUCCAAAAAAUCGUUGAAGAAGGGGAAGAUCAUCUUCGUGGCUUCCGUCACUGUCACAUAUCCUAAUCAUCACAAUUGAAAAAUAAAAAAAUACAGCGUAGUUCAUUUUUUUAAACUCAAAUCAUAGAGUUUUUCAUUAAUAAAAAACUCUUAUUAAUAAAAAAGUCAUGGCUAUAUCAAUUAUUAUAUAUACCUUUUUCAUCAAGUGAAAAUAUAAAUAAUUUAUUAUAUAACUUUUUCAUCAAAUGAAAAUAGUGGCUUUCCUUAGAUACACUCUUUUAUUAAAAAAAAACUUAUUUUUCUAAAAAAUUUUGGUUAUAAAAAAGGCUAAAUCUCCUCCUAUAUCACGAUUUAUUUGGAAAAUAUUUCUUUAGCAUCGUAUUUUCUGCUAUAAGUUGGAUAUAAAAAAUUAUUCAAAACUUCGUCCCGAUUGUCAUAAAUGCAUAUUUCGUUGAUCCCAGUGUCACAUCGUCCUAUUAGAGUUGGAUGAGUCAACAUUUUACCGACGUUGAAAGUUAGUCCUGACGAUGUGAUAUUGAGACAAAAUCCAUAUAACUUAUAUCCGUAAAUCCGGCCGCUGCAUGCACCCGCCCGAAAAGGUGUUCUGGCCAUUACAACUGGCUACAAUUUUCGAAUGAAUCAACUAAGACGAUUCUAUCUUUACGAAAUCUAAAACAUCAUUUUAUUCAAAUCUGAGAGCUUCAAAUAGUAACCUUUAUCUAAUAUCCAUCUCAUACAGGUGCAUGUAUUUGGUUUUGAAAGACAUAGUCAACAUUAUUUUGACCGUUUCAACAUUAAAUUGUAUAUUUUGACUGUUCUGAUCUUUAAUACAAUCUAUCUUUAGUAUAAAAUAAUAAAUACUAAUAUCUUGAGAUAAUUAAUUAAGAAAAUGUCAAUUUUAAAACCGAUAUAUAACAUUUAAAAGUUUCGAGACAACCCCUGAAGGACAAGCUAGUUGCAUGGGAUAUGGAUGUUGAUUCAUUUUGCAGUAUAUGCAAUAUUGGGGUUGAAAACUCAAUUCAUUUAUUCCUCAUUUGUCCAUUCAUCUCCAAAUUAUUCAUCUCCAAAUUAAGAACUAAACUCUUCCUCCGUCUUGUCUAUCUGGAAGACUGGAAGGAUGAGAUUAACUGUACGACAGUUAAAUUCCCGAGACACUCACCAAGGUCGAGAGCGACUAAUCUCAUUUGGCGUUGUUUAAUCAGUCAUAUAUAGAAAGAAAGAUAUCGUAGAGUUUAUACGGGUAUUCACAUGGAUGUGGAACAGAUGGAUAGACAAAUCUGCUGGGAAACCUCGGUUAUCGAAUGUAACGCAAAAAUUAGUAGAUGCAUUGAAGAGUAUAGCAAAUUGUAUGGAUAGAUUUAGAUAAAAUCAUAGUAGUAUAGGUUUCUUUGAUCUCUGUUGUUCCCGUAACUAAGUUUCAGAAACUGUUUGAUUGGUUGUUGUGCUUUGAUGAAAUAAAAAUUGAUAUUCAUCGAAAAAAAGGUUUUGAGACGGAUUUGUAACCCGACCUAACUUACGUGACUAAUCGAGUAUUUGACCGAUUAUUUUUUAGGAGGGCCGACCAGAUCCUCAUCAUAUGCCAAAAAUACCAGUAGUUGGCCAUUUAUCGCACUGUACUAACAAUGUCAAGCACCAACCACUCAUUCAGCGAUGGGGAAAGCUUCAGAAAUCUGAUGCCAUUUCAAUCCCAUGUCGAAUUGCAUCUAGAAAUCCAGAAACUUUCUGAAACAGAGAGAUUCUUCUCAAGACACCUUUACAUGAUCACCAGCAAUGGCGACAAUUCACAAACCACUGAAGCUGAAGAAGCCCAGACUGAGAUCGCCAAUCCCCAACCUGCUCAUCUGGUUAGUAGCCGCCGCCAUUGGGCUUAUCUUCCUUUUCUCGGCGAGUGAUUUCUCCAUCGACGACUCUAUGAAACUCAUAAAGCGGCUGAUGAGGUCCAAGCGGCCCAGGCGGGUGCAUACUCUGCAUGACAAGUAUUUGUACUGGGGGAGUAGGAUCGAUUGUCCUGGCAAGCAUUGCGAAUCUUGUGAAGGUUUGGGUCACCAGGAGUCUAGCCUCAGGUGUGCUCUUGAGGAGGCAAUGUUUCUUAACAGGUUGGUAAUUUCUGGAUGUAUUAAUAUGUUCGCCAUGUUACUGAUAAAAUGCCUGAAAGAGAAAAAGGAUGUAAUGGAUAAAUAGUGGCAAUGUACUUAUUAGUUAUUAGAGCUAUCUGUCCUUUGAAUUUUGGAGAAUUAUGUUGGGAUUUCCAGUUCAUUGGAUCUUUCUCCUGUACUGAUAUAUCAAACUGGCUUUGAAUCCUGAGUGAUGAUGGUGAUCAUUAAGCUGAGGAUUUCUUAUAUCAUCCUUAAAUGUCAUGGGAGGAUGCAACACCUCAGUAGAAAAUAGCAUCGUUUUAUAUCUCAAGGGAAAAAUGGAACCUUUGGUUGGAUCCCAAAUCCUGAUAGAUUGGAAUAGGGGGAUUCUAGCCAGUUUGGGGACGUUGGAAUGGAUAUAAUUACCGGGAGUCUGAAUUAUUGGUUUGGCAAUGUGGAAAGUUUGAUGAAAUUUUGAGCAUUUUUCCAGUCCAAUAGGAAAGUUAGUCCUGACGAUGUGAUUUUGGGAGCGAAUUUUCAUUUUGUUAUUCCAUGCCCGAUUGGAAUCUCGAUCCUGAACAGCUUCACUGGGAAUUAUAUUUCUUUGGAAUAGAUUAUUCCAAGAAAUUUCUGACUGUCCGGAACAAUUCCUUGUAGUCACAAAUUCCAGGGAAUUCUUAAAUCUGACAAUUGCUUGAUUUCACCUUUUUGCAGAACUUUUGUCAUGCCUUCUAGAAUGUGCAUCAAUCCUAUACAUAAUAUGAAGGGAAUUCUCCAUCGUUCUGAUAAUUCAACUUCUGAAGAAAGGUUUGUUUGCUAAAAACUUGUACUGGGGAUUAUCUAUAGUGGGUUGAGGUCCUACAUCUUGAAUAUCAAUAAUUUCUUUUUAUGGUCGAUAAAACUAUCUCAAAGAACCGAUCUUGUUGAGCUGUGCCAUUAAAAUCAUUAAUUUAGGGCGAAUUUACUAGCUGUCUUGCAGUUGUUUAUUUUCAACUCUGCCAUUGCUGAAACAGAUGAGGCCUUGAGUGGAAACUCGGCUAGUUUGUUAAGCAUGUCAUGAACUUAUACGUGCUUUUGUUUUGAAGGUGGACAUCAAGCUCUUGCAGUGUGGAGUCCUUUUACGAUAUAGACUUCAUGUCUGAAACCGUACCAGUUAUCUUGGACAAUUCAAUAGAGUGGUUUUACCUUGUUUCAAUUGCAAUGAGAUUGGGAUCGAGAGGAAUUGCCAAUGUACAAGGAGUUAGUCGGGCUGAACUGAAAGAAGGCAGCCAGUACACCAAUCUGUUGCUCAUAAAUCGAACUGCCAGUCCUCUUUCAUGGUAUGCAGUAUACUGCUCAAUUUCUCUGUGGCUUUCUUAUCAAACUUAGGACUCCCAAGUACUUCUGUGGAGCUAAAAUAAUAACUCUUUAGGUUUAUGGAAUGCAAGGGAAGAAGCAACCGCAGUGAUAUUAUGCCGCCAUACUCAUUUCUUCCUUCAGUAGCGUCAGAGAGAUUGCGGGAUGCUGCCGACUUGGUAUGUAAUAGGUGCCUUUGGACUACUUCUUUUCAUUUUGUUUAGAAGAAACCUAUACUUGUGUUAAAAACUGACUCAACUCGGUCCAGUCUCUGCUCAACUGAACCUGAUUAGUAAUUUGAAUUGAUCGAAAGCCAAUAACCUAUAACUCAGCCAACCCCAAAAUCUCAAGAACCUAUAAACCAAGUAAACUCUUAUCCACCUGACCCAUAAAUUGAUCAAUACGUCAAUUAACCUACCGCCCAAGUUUGAUAGCUCUAGACUCCGGUAUACAUGUAAAGUUUUACACUUUCACAUUAUGAGUGCUAACUUGUGGUCAUGCAGGUGCACUUUGCUAACAGAACUCAUUUCUUAGACGUUUUAGUCUUUGAUUUGGUUUCAGUUCUAUGAUUUAUGUUAGUGUUUGUCUCCCUGCAAGUUUUGAAUGGCUGUUUAUGUUGGUGAUAUUUACAGAUCAUAGCUAAACUUGGCGAUUAUGAUGCUAUUCAUGUUCGCCGCGGAGACAAAAUCAAAACAAGGAAUGACAGAUUUGGUGUUCCUCGCAGCUUACACCCCCAUCUGGACAGGGAUACACGCCCAGAAUACAUUCUUCAGAGAAUCGGAAAAUGGGUCCCACCUGGAAGAACUGUUUUUAUUGCUUCAAAUGAGAGGACGCCAGGUUUCUUUUCCCCUCUUUCUGUCAGGUAAUCGUAUUUUCGUUCGUGAUUGCGUUUCAUGCACAAAAUGCUACAUCCCGGUGAAGCUGAUGAUUUAUAUAUGGGGGGAAUUUGGUUUUUUUGGGGGUAUUUGCAGAUACAAAUUAGCAUAUUCUUCAAACUACAGCAGGAUCCUGGACCCUUUGAUUCAGAACAACUACGAAUUGUUCAUGAUCGAAAGGCUGAUAACGAUGGGUGCGAAAACAUUCAUCAGAACGUUCAAGGAAGAUGAUACAGAUUUAAGCCUCACUGAUGACCCAAAGAAGAACACCAAGAUAUGGCAACUCCCCGUCUAUACCAUGGCCGAAGUUCGGGAUAAAUGAUCGAGUCUUAUACCGUCGUAGCCCUUUGUUCUUUCAUUCAAGGUCCAAACGAUGUUUGAUUAACUAGACAUUUUAUAGAAACCGCGAUUUUAUCAGACUGGUAAAUAUUAAUCACUGUUUAGGAUGGGAUGUUACAGUAAUUUAUUUUUUAAUUGUGGAUACAUCUGGAUAACUAGGAUGAUAAUUUUAUUCAUACUGUUUGGUUCCGGUUAUCCAGUACUCGAACCAGGCCUUACAUUUUCGGUUCAUCCCGUUAAUCGUUUCCAUUAGACUGGUAUUUAACUGUUGGGAAAUUCAUUAGCAAGGUUUGCAGAGAUAAAUGGUUUCGAAUGUUAGAUAACAACGAGAAUAUGAAACAACAACGAUAUCCAGACUCGUACAUUUACGUUGAAUCAUUUGCACUGCGUGGAUCGGUAAGUGCAGCUAGCUACAAACAAAAUACAGGUAAACUCGACUCGAUAAACUAUAUAUUGCGAUAGCUAGGGUUUGGUCAUUAUUAUGAUUCAGUUGGCUAACUCGGGAUUACAUAGCUCGAAGAACAACUAGUUAUUAUGCUUAUUAUUUGAUCCUCCCAUUUCAAUGAAAACUGCAGCAUUGUUUGCUUCCUUUUGCUUCGAGAUUUCACCGUCUGCAACUGCCUUUGCAGCAUCCUUGUAGAUCAUGUAUAGCACCAUCUGUGUUAUCCCAAAUAGAAAUCCCAGCACAUUUGGCAGCUGCAAAUGACAUAUUUCGAAAUUGAUUUCCGAGUUUUACGACAAGGAAAUCGAAUCGUGGUCCGAAAUCUAGUUAGUCGUACUAACCGCAAUGUAGUAAUCGUUGACGAGAAGGCCAUAGAAGAACCACGCAGUGGCGCAGAGCGUAAGGAAGAACGACAGGGAGAAGGGCAUGUACUCCACGCUCUUCGUCUUUAUCACGUUUCUCUGCACCCACAUUACAUCGAUUGACACUACCGUCGUUAGGAUCUUGUCAUAAACCGAACAGAAAGAAACAGGGUUACCGAUCUGGCUGCUUAAUCUGUUAUUACCACAAUGCUCAAGGGAGCAGCAAAGACUGCAAUGUUGAACACAGCACAUAUCCAUCCAAUGGUGUUCAACCUUAAGCUACCAUGAAGCCAGAACACAGUUACCAGCAUCAUGCCACCAUAUCCUCCCAAUGAACUAACCAGCAUCUUCACUGUAAACAUCUGUUAAGAAAAACAAUCACUAAUCACGGUUAUAUCUUAUGGUCCAUAACCGGUUAAUUAGGUCCGACUCUAUAUAAUACUACAAAAAAAUCCAGUUUUAGUGACGAUUUUCCACUAAAACAGUCACUGAUAGGCCAAACGGUCACCGGUGAUCUAUACUGACCAAUAAAUUAGUGACUGUUUCAUAUAUAAGCAGUCGCUAAAACUCCAUUUUCUUGCCGUAACUGUAUACAUAGUAUCAUAUGAUUUGGAGUCUACAAUCUUGUAAAGAUCACGAUCCAUCUUUCUUUUAUGCACCAUAACAAACUUGAAGAACAUCGAGCAUACCAAUUCUCUGGUUGGUGAGUAGAAGAGGUAGGCAGAGAGGUAAAUGAGCUCAAUGGCGCACCCAAUGGCAUUGAUCGUAAUUAUGAGCGUCGCAUUGGUUUUCAAAAGUCCAUAGUACAACAGCAACAUUGCACUCAUCAGUGCCGUCACGUAUGGUAUCGAGUGGAAACCUUGCGACGACUUCUUCUUGUAAAUUUUGUAAAACGUCGGCCUGCAACUCAAAAGUACUCGACGUCAGUUACAACAAUCAAACGCUGUCACGGAUUUUUUGUAGUCACGACGACGGUUCUUACAGGGGAGCUAAGAACACCAGAAAAGAGAUGAUGUUUCCUGGAGAAAACACAGAGUUAAAUUGAUCAGAAUGGAAGUAUGAAUGAAUGAAGAUUGAAGGUCUCGAAUUUCGUACCGAGUAGACCGAAAAUCAGAGCAAGCUUUUCAUGACUGAUGAUGAGGAAUUUUGCUGCAACCAUCUUUUUUUAUGAAUAUUGCUUUCUUUGUGUGAGAUGCUCUGCUAUGGAGGGUAUGAAUUAGUGAAUUUAUAGAGAGUGGAUGAUUGGUUAGCUUGAGAAGUUAAUUAGGCUGACCAAACCCAUUAGAGAAAAGAGAGUGUAAAGCAUGAUACAUUCAUUUUCUACCCGACCGAACCGAAGUAUAUGAUAACUCGAGUUGGUUGGGAGAGGUUCGGAAUUGCGUGGGUUAUAUAACAUUUUUUAAUGGAAUUUCAGUCUGUGCGUGGGCGGUUAGCAAAAAUCCGUUUAAUAUUCGUAUAAUACACAUAUACAUAUUAUAUACAUUUAAAUUUUCCAUUCUCGUACUAUUUUAGAGCCGUUCGAUUUUUUCACGCUGGUUUAAGGGUAAUUAAGGAGAUUGGUGUAAGAACAUCUCUAUUAAAGACUUUUAUGCUAGGUAGAGAACUAGCUAGUGUCCUAAUAAUUCGAGUUAUCGAGAUUACGAGUCAAAUCAAAUCACAAUUCAUGUAAGUUAUUAAGAUUUGAAAAUCGAAUUGGAUCGGAUUAGAAUUGAGUUGAGUCCGCUCUACCGACGAUGGUGGGGGGAUUGGAGUUUGAGAGAGGAUUGAUUGAGUUGCAGGUUUGGUGGAAACAUGGAGAUAGGGCUACUCUGAAGCUUAACCGGGCAUUAACAGUGAUGUUUCAUAAACCAAACUUGUUAAUUAUUCAUGUCAUGUUUGCUCUCAAUUUUCGUUAUGAUGUGCUUGCUGUAUGUGUUUGAACUUUGAUAUUAUGUAAUUUUCGUUAUAUUUAUAGAUUGGUUAUUAUAUUUUUUAUGUGCGACGGCCUAACGUAUUUUAACUUCUAUACGAUUUGGCAAUGCAUUGCACUAUUCUGAAUCCGCCGCUGUUAUGUUGCGGAUACCUUUACAACUGAAAUCUUUUUUGGGUUGCUUGACAGUACCUACCAACUAAUCACAAGUCAAAAUGUUCACUUUGAGACGUCUGUGGCCAAAUUUUGGUUGCCAGAAUAUGCGCCGGGACUGUGGAUAACUAACUAUAUGCUCCUAUCAGAGUUUCAGUUGGAGGCUUUGAUUUGGGUGUUUGUAUGGUUGUUUGACGAAGUUUCGUGUUCGGCUUGGGAAAAACUCGUUCGUGAUUCGAUUUGAUUUUAAACGAGCCGAGCUUGAUGCGUGGUUUAUUCAAUUUGAUAGGCUUGUGAGCUCGAAAGCCGACUCGAAUACCAACUCAAUAAUUGGACUCGUCGGUAGACUUAAUAACUUAAUUCUUUAGGAUAGCUUGUUUUUUAGCGUACAAACUUCAAGUUCAACUCAAAUUAGACUCUCAUCGCGGGUUUUAAUGAGUGAAGUUUGAAUUGAGCUCGCGUUUGGCUCGUAAAUGGUAGUUAACAAACUAGGUUCAAAUAUGCUAGAGCUCAACACAAGCCAAAAUUUUCUACCGAGUUCAACUAAAAAUUAACAAGCCAAACUUGAGCACUGAAAUUCAGCUCGCGACGUAACAUAACAAUAUUUUCGUCAACUUGUGUCAUAUUUUUCGUCUAAUAUCACAACUCAAUCCAGCCUCUACGAGGUGACAUGUUUUUCUUUCUGUGUUCUUCAAAUCUGUUAGAAAGUAUUGAGCAUCAUGGAUGGCAUCUGAAAGGAUAGAUGCCACGGAGCAUCAUGCAUCUGCAAACACAAGUAAUAGCAGAGCAGAAGAAUAGGGAAGGAAAUGUCAAAGGACCCCCAUAAUUUAAUUGCAUGGGUUAGUCACUGCAGCCACUACUCUGGCCAUCUGAACCACCUGAAACUCCGACAUCUGCACUUUUGAUCGCAUGACCAGCCUGCGAGCCAAUUACCGUUGCUGUAUCCUCGUUGGAAGUAGAUGCCGAAAUUUCCAUUACAGACAAUAUGCCACCCUUGCCUUCAACUGGUAGCGCACCACCCGUUUGCAAUACUGGUUCAGGACGGUUUCCCAGUGUAGGAUUGCUGUCAGGUGCCGAAAUUUCAACUGCAGACUGUAUGCCACCCUCUCCUUCAACUGGUAGCGGACCACAUGUUUGCAAUACUGGUUCCGGAUGGUUUUCCGGAGUAGGAUUGCUAUCCUUAACACUGUCAUUUGAAGCACCUAGAGCAGUCUCAACUCCUUCGACUAUACUUUCGCUUAGUGCUCCUUUCACAAUUUCAACUACGCUUCCACUCUGGACACCUUCAACUUCGCUUCCUCCUAAAGCAACCUCCAUUACUUCAUCUACUCCUUCAACUUUGCUUUCUCCUAUGCUACCUUCCUUCCUUUUAUCCACUCCUUCAACCUCACUUCCUCCAAUGGCACCUUCGGUUCCUUUAUCCACUCCAACCUCACUUUCUCUUUCAGCCCCUUCCUUUCGAUCAUUCCCUCCUUCGACUAUGAUUUCUCUGAUAGCACCUCUCAUUCCUUCAUCUACUCCUUCAACUUUACUUUCUCCUAUAGCGCCUUCCGUUCGUUUAUCCACUUCAACCUCGCUUUCUCCUGUAACACCUUCCAUUAGUACAUUCCUGCCUUCGAGUACGAUUUCUCCUAUAGCAUCACUCAUUCCUUCAUCCAGUCCUUCAAUGUUACUUUCUCCUAUAACACUUUCCAUUAGUUCAUUUCCUCCUUCAAGUACGAUUUCUCCCAUAGCAUCACUCAUUCCUUCAUCCACUCCUUCAACUUUACUUUCUCCUAUAGCGCCUUCCAUUUGUUUAUCCACUCCUUCAACCUCGCUCUCCCCUAUAGCACCUUCCAUUCGUUCAUUCCCUCCUCCAACUACGAUUUCUCUUCCUAUAGCACCACUCAUUCCUUCAACUUUACUUUCUCCUAUAGCACCGUCCAUUUGUUCAUUCCCUCCUCCGACUAUGAUAUCUCCUAUAGCACCACUCAUUCCUUCAACUUUACUUUCUCCUAUAGCACCAAUUACUCCUUCAACUACGCUUUCUCCUGUAACAACUUUCAUCCCUUCAACUUCUGGUUCACUGACACGUAUCCGUUUACAUUCUGAUCCUUGCUGAUCGUCUGCAGUCUCAGAAGUGUUAUUGAUAUGUUCAUUCAGAGCACUCUUUGGUACUUCCGUUUCCGACAUGUUUGUAUGUUGUAAUUCCAGACCUUUCAGAUCAGCCCCAGCAGGAUUUCCAUUGGAUGAAUGUUCACCAAGUGCAUUUUGAGGCUUUCUUUUACGUUUUCUUUUCAUCAUGUUCUUCUUGCGCCGUCCCUUUUUAACAGUGGGAGGAGCGGCUGUCUCCUUUGGAACACUCGGCGGCUCCAAUACCCUAUUCCUGUUGGGAAUUACUGUUAAACUAGAGUUUCCACCAGUUGGCCCUCUGGAUAUGUCCAUAUUGAUUUCCUUAAUAGCAAACCAAGCAGUUCUUGCAGCUUUUAUCUCCGCUUCCUUUUUGGUGUUUGCCAUUGCUCCUAUAUACCUCGUCCCUCCAAUGUCCACAACACAUUGGAAAGAAUGUCCACGACGUCCACGAUGUUGUGUUUCAUACUGUUGACACUGGUACAAAGGAACUGCAAAAUUCAUCUUCUGAGCAUAUUCCUGAAGCAGGUUCUUACAGAGUCCAGUUCCAUGCUAACAGGGGAAAGAACAAAAGUGAAGGUCAGAAUUAAUGACCCAUGAAGUACAAGCUAGUGGGUAGCAUUUAUGGUAUCAAUGGUAACAAGUAAAGCACAAUCACCCCUCCAAUGCUUUCACAUGGACAGAAUUGUGACCUAAAGAAAUCAGUAAAGUAACUAUGUUACUGAAUAAUACACUUACAGCUGGUUGGGAGAUGCUAGCAUUGGCAUCACUGGAUUUAGCCAACUCAAUGAGCGCAACCUCCGCAGCUGACUGCUCUGCUGCUUUACGAUUCAUAAAUCCAGGAAGAGAGUCAUAUCUGACAUCGUUCACUAUCACAGUUGACCUGAAGAAAGGUUCAUGAGAACGGCCUUCUUUGGUUGUCUCAUACACAGGUGUAGGAACUCCUGCCUUUUGCGCAUACUCCUGUAGCUGACUCUUAAAUAAAUAGCAACUCGCUAUACCUGGAACCAGACAAAGUAAUUGCAUAAGCAUAACCUAACCUACCUACUAACAAGUACUAGUGAUUUAGGAAAACAUGAACAGAUGUAUUUGCAGCUUGUUGUGACUGUCUCGUUCAUAGUGAUGUGGGAAAUGAAGAAACUGCUAUCUCAAAUAACUGCUUGUAUGCCACAACCAAGCAAAAUCAAACAACUUUAUCGCAGCAUUGGAAUCAGUCUUCCUAUUUGAUGCAGUAGGAUUUAUUACUUAUCUCUCAAGAAAGCUAAUUGUCGAGAUAGUUACAGACACAAAACCCCGUUUGACAAGUUAAUUAAACGUCUGCACUACCUUGAAGGCUACCAAGUAAGGACCUCAAAGUCCCCCGAAUUCUUCAAUUCAGUUGAAGUAAAAAUAGCUAACAAGAAAAUUAUCACAGCGUACUCCUCAGAGGGGGAAAAAGUACGCACAUCAAUCAUAAAAUGGACAUCAGAAACCUAAGCAAUCAUUCCAAAUGAUUUGCUCACAGCUGAAGCAGUGAAUGAAACGCAGGAGGAAUCGAUGCAAUAGCUAAACGAAGAUAAAAUCAUCCAACCGUAUGAUGAAAUGCAGUAAGGCUUCAAGAUACACAAGCAAGAUGACUAUCUGAUGAACCCUAGCAGCAAUACAAGUAAACCCCCUAAUAAAACCAACAAACAGAGCAAACAAGCAUCAUUCUAGCGACAAUUCCAAGCUAUUAGAGCGCGAAGAAUACCAAACAAAACUGUCUAUUGAAACAAAAAUUAAAACGCCUCCAGCAGCAAGGUAAUUACUGUUAUCGGUACGAGGGCGUUUUCCGACGGUAGGUUGCUGCUGCUGCGACGACGACGACGACGCAUGGAGUGGUAGUCGGCCGGCAUGAAGUCCGUUAGACAUUUCCAGCCGGAUUCGAGAAAUGGGUUUUUUUACAGUAGCGGCGGAGCCUUCGGCACACCUGGUAGGUAACUCGAAAUGAAUGAAAACUGAAGCUUUUAUUUUUCAGUUCACGAAUAUCUAGUUGUGUUUUUUGUUGUAAGCUUUUAGUUUUCAGUUCACGAAUAGAGUGUUGACACUUGUUUCAAUCCUUAUUUCGGCUUCGUAACUUUCCAGUCGUGUUAGGGUGUAACAAACAUCUUAUAAAAACUCGUAAUGGUGUAAAAAGGUGUUGAUGUAUGAGAUCACCGGUUGCAACUUUGUCACAACAGCUUUUAAUUCAGUUUUAGUGGUUGAAUAAAUCUCGAGGUUUAUAUUAUAAAGCUAUCAAUCAGCGAUCAUUCGCAUCACGGAACAAGCCUCUUACGAUUGUUCAUCCGGUCUCGAAAAUAAUAAAUUGAGAGCAAUCCACUCAAAUGAUGAUGACGAUUAAGAGAUAUUCAUCACCGUCUUAACAUGUGAACCAAUAUGAAUGGACUGACCACGUAUCAAAUAUUCUCAACUUCGAUCAUCCAUUUCCAAUCCAUGACAGAAACUCAUAACCUCAGGAAAGUGUUGGUUGAUGAGAUCACCACCUCAAUAAUAACUAAAUCGUGACUUAUGAAUUCAACUACACUCAUACCAUUCAGUAACUUCUUUCCCAAUUCAACUACAAUCAUAUUAAUAUCCCAACAGCUCUCAAUUUAGUUGCGGUGAUUGAAAAAUUCUCAAAAUUUAUACUAUAAACUGUCACGCAAUAAUCAUCAACAUCACGAACAAACCUUUUAUAAUUGCUUAUCCGAUCUCAUAAAUAAUAAACUCUUUCUUUUGGUAUGAAAAAUAAUAAAUUCUUUUCGAAAUUAACGACAAACCACAAUAAUAAUGAUAACAACCAAUAGACAUCCGCCACCGUCUUUCACGCAUCAUCGCCUCCAAUAGCUGGGCCCGGCCGGAUCCACAAAAGCCCGGCCCGCCACUGUGGAACGUGUAGCUAGCUAUCAAUAAUUUCCCGACUCCAUUAGAAAAUGAAAAAAUUGAUUUGCUGUAAAAAUGGUGUCAUAAAUUCAACUUUGCUUUCGCGUCCACCUCUCUCUCUCUCGCUCCGCGCCUCCUUCCCCACUAGGGUUCAACCCAGCCGUCGCGUCCCUCCGAUCUGCCACCGGACAAUUUUCCACCCUUCAGCUUUUCAAAUUCCGUAAGUAACAUUCUGCUCCCCUUGAUGCUACUUCCGCUAGUUGAUCCUAUUCAUUUGUUUAUGGGACGAAGUUUGAUCUUAUUCUAGUGUUCCUACUAUCUGAUUGGCUUAUUGAAUGCUUACUUUUCAAUCUGAAUGCCUCUUUUUCGAACUGUGUACAGAUAGAUCAUGGCUAUGGAGGUGACACAGGUGCUUCUGAAUGCACAAUCGAUAGAUCGCAAUGUUCAGAAGCAAGCUGAGGAGAGCUUGAAUCAGUUCCAAGAGCAGAACCUCCCUGCUUUCUUGUUUUCUCUCUCUGGUGAGCUUGCCAAUGAAGAUAAACCUGCUGAUAGCCGCAGAUUAGCUGGUUUGAUGUUGAAAAAUGCACUGGAUGCUAAGGAGCAGCAUAGGAAGUUUGAGCUUGUUCAGAGAUGGUUGAUGUUGGAUGCUACUGUAAAGGCUCAGAUAAAAACAUGCUUGUUGAAGACACUCUCUUCUCUUGUACCUGAUGCUCGUAAACCUGCAGCUCAAGUAAUUGCCAAAGUUGCUGGAAUUGAGCUCCCCCAGAAACAGUGGCCUGAACUGAUUGGAUCCCUUUUGUCGAAUGUUCAUCAGCUACCUGCUCAUGUCAAGGAAGCAACAUUGGAGACUCUUGGGUAUUUGUGCGAGGAAGUUUCUCCGGAUGCUGUGGAUCAAGAUAACGUGAAUAAAAUCUUGACUGUUGUUGUUCAAGGAAUGAGUUCUUCCGAAGUGAAUACUGAUGUCAGAUUGGCUGCUAUUCAAGCAUUAUAUAAUGCACUGAGCUUUGCUCAAGCAAAUUUCAGCAAUGACAUGGAACGUGAUUAUAUCAUGAGAGUUGUCUGUGAGGCUGCUUUGUCGAAAGAAUUGAAGAUCCGCCUAGCAGCUUUUGAAUGUUUGGUGUCUAUUGCAUCAAUGUACUAUGAGAAGUUAACUCCAUAUAUGCAAGAUAUCUUCACAAUCACAUCAAAAGCCGUGAGGGAAGAUGAAGAAGAUGUAGCUCUCCAGGCAAUUGAAUUCUGGAAUUCAAUUUGUGAUGAAGAGAUAGACAUAUUAGAAGAGUACGGGGUCGAGUUUACUGGGGACUCAGAUGCAGUUCAAUGCUCCUAUUUUGUCAAGCAGGCUUUGACUGUUCUUGUACCAAUUUUGUUGGAAACACUUUUGAAGCAAGAGGAAGACCAAGACAAAGAUGACACUGCUUGGAAUAUUGCAAUGGCAGGUGGAACAUGUCUUGGGCUUGUUGCACGUACUGUGGGAGAUGAUAUUGUUCCCCUUGUUAUGCCAUUCAUUGAAGAGAACAUAACAAAACCUGAUUGGAGGCAAAGAGAGGCAGCUACUUAUGCUUUUGGGUCAAUUUUGGAAGGUCCUUCUCCAGACAAGUUGACACCGAUUGUUAAUGUUGCUUUGAACUUCAUGUUAACAGCUUUAACAAAGGACCUGAAUACUCAUGUAAAAGAUACCACUGCCUGGACUCUUGGGCGUAUCUUUGAGUUUCUUCAUGGUUCAACAAUGGAUGCACCAAUCAUUACGCAGGCAAAUUGCCAACAAAUAAUUACUGUACUACUCCAAAGUAUGAGUGAUGCGCCAAAUGUGGCUGGGAAGGCUUGUGGGGCACUAUAUUUUCUUGCUCAGGGUUAUGAAGAUGUGGGCCCAUCAUCUCCUUUGACCCCAUACUUCCAGGAUAUUGUACAGGCACUUCUCACGGUCACUCAUCGGAAAGAUGCAGAUGAUCGGCUAAAGACGGCUGCCUAUGAAACACUUAAUGAAGUGGUUAGGUGUUCAACAGACGAAACUACUCCUACGGUGUUGCAACUUGUUCCUGUGAUAAUGAUGGAACUUCACAAUACACUCGAGGGUCAGAACCUUUCAUCUGAUGAGAGGGAGAAACAACAAGGGCUUCUUUGUGGGUGUUUACAGGUCCUUGUUCAGAAGCUUAGCUCGGCGGAGUCAACUAAGUAUUCGUUUAUGCAGUAUGCAGACCAGAUAAUGGGUCUGUUCCUUAGGGUGUUUGCUUCUAAAAGCGCAACUGUGCAUGAGGAGGCCGUGCUUGCUAUUGGAGCCCUUGCCUAUGCAUGUGGCCCAGAAUUUGACAAGUACAUGCCGGAACUCUACAAGUACUUGGAGAUCGGCCUUCAAAAUUUUGAAGAAUACCAGGUGUGUGCUGUUACUGUUGGAGUGGUAGGCGAUAUUUGCAGGGCGUUGGAAAAUAAAGUUCUACCUUAUUGUGACGGGAUCAUGACACAGCUUCUGAAGGAUUUGUCAAGCAAUCAGUUGCAUCGAUCCGUUAAGCCCCCUAUAUUCUCCUGCCUUGGCGACGUUGCACUGGCAAUAGGCCAAGACUUUGAAAAAUAUCUGAUGUACGCCAUGCCAAUGCUCCAAAGUGCUGCCGAAUUGUCUGCUCAUACUACAGGUGCUGAUGAUGACAUGGUCGAAUAUACGAAUUCUCUCAGAAACGGAAUCUUGGAGGCUUAUUCUGGAAUAUUUCAAGGGUUUAAGAACUCAACUAAAACCCAGCUGUUGAUUCCUUAUGCACCACACAUUCUCCAGUUCUUGGAUAGCAUAUACAUGGAGAAAGACAUGUCAGUAGCUUAUUUUGAUCUUGAUUCUCAAUUUUGCAGCCAUGAAAAAUAUCAGUGUUUGACUGUAAAUUGACUUUUUAACUUGUUUGAAUUCAUGCAGGGAUGAUUUAGUGAUGAAAACAGCUAUUGGAGUACUUGGAGACUUGGCAGACACACUUGGAAGCAAUGCUGGAACUAUGAUACAGAAUUCUCUCUCAAGCAGGGACUUCUUAAACGAAUGCUUAUCUUCGGAAGAUGGUUCGAUAAAGGAAUCUGCUGAAUGGACGAGGCUAGCGAUCACUCGUGCCAUAUCUGCUUGAGAGGUUAUUUGCCAAGCUCGGCAUGUUCUUUCGUUUUAGAGUCCUGCAUGCAUGCAUUGGGGUAUCUUGAGUCAGUCAGGUCCUGGGUUUGCGUUCGUGUCAAGUCGGUCUCGGCAUUUUUCUGGUAACACAAGUUACUCGGGGUGUCCAGUUUUGUCACUAGCUCUUGAAUCAGCACCCGCUGGAGGGCUCGGCUCGGAGGCAUUUGAUUGGCUGCAAACAUCGUUUUGAAGUCAUAACCAGUUGGAAAUAAGGGUCCAAGAAGUGUCAUCAUUCAUAUUGCAUGGAGUCGGUGCAAGUCGGUCAUGGACAUUUGAGUUGGUUGAUGAUAGGUGCUGAGUCGGGUGCAAGGAAUCGUCGCCGAUUGCAUGUAGGGUUGGUCCGUCCGUCCAAGUCGUAAGGUCUCGAUGGGUGUUCCACCAGGACCGAACUCGAAGAGCAUUUGCCGAAACUUUUUUCCUGUGUUUUACUGCAUCUGUCAUCGUUUGUAUCUGUUGUCAUAUGGUAGGUUGUACCAUUGUACCUUCAUUUGUGGGGAAUAUACUUGAAGAGUCUUGCAUUGCAUGAUUCAUUUGUUUUUGUUUUCUAAACUUGUUAUUUCUCUAUAAAGCACUAUAAGUCUGAGAGCUUAUAUAUCAAAACAUCAUGCAUUCAUUCAUUCAUCAGAAUUUCCUUUGCAGCAUCUGGUAAUUAUUGAGUUUGUGCUCAUCUUUUCUUUGGAAGAUGUGUGAUUUUACUGAUCUUUCCUCUUGUUUCAUAACUGACAGAAGUAUCUCUUUUUAUGCUAGAAACUUUUCGAACGACUGAUGCGUUAUUGUUCGAUGAGUUUCUGUUGUGAUCCCUGUGUCAUCGGCGCGUUUCUGGUAAGCAUCGAAAGACACUUUCACGACUUGCGAGUGUUAUAAGUUGUUAUAAGUUAUAAUUAGUUAUUGACUAUGGUCCAUAAGUUAAGUAGGUUGCUCUGAGCCAAUACUCAUGGGUUAUGAUUCAUUUCGGCGUAACGAUUGAGUUGCACGGUAUCUGCUCAAGUUUUAGCCUAGAUAUUUAUAAGAGUUCAUCAGAGUCAUGGCCAGAUCACGAUAGCCACAUAUCAACCUUCGAUUGAUAACCUAAGUAAGUAUUGAAUCUCCACUGUUACUGAGAUGAACAGUGGAAAUUCCACCCGAGAGCCCGAGAACUUAAUUUGUUUUGCCUCAUUGCAAACCUAGUCCUUGCUACUCAUACUGAUGUUGUUGAGUUCAUUGUAACUAGUUAAUCCUAAGCAUAAAAUGUUAUUUCAAUCAAACCGGACAUAUAACAAAAUGCGUGACACAUUUAUAGGCUAGAGGCUCAAUCGAGGCCGAACCUUCAAAAAACCCCGCUCAAAGAGUGCGCCCCCGUCCCAAAUGAACUCUCUACCAAGGUUUUGGACAAUGAACGGGGAGAUUGCAUCGCGUUUCUUUAUAAGCCUGCAUCGAAUUUAAAAAUUGUUCGGGCUAGCGACACAUUGUCAAAUAUCGAUUCCAAUCAAUUAACAGCGAUUCGUUUCGGAUGGAAAUGAACUAGAUAUGUCUGAUUAACAUUUGUGCAAUAGAACCAGUGUCACCUUAGUGUUAUUAUACAACACACAAUUUCACAAAUAUGCAUCAUUUACAACUGCAAGUAAAUGCUUGAGAGAUGCAAUUCCAACUCCCAAGUAAAUAAUAGAACCAUAAAGAAAAAUGAAUAUCUAGUUGUAUUUGAUGAAAGAAAUAUUUUAAUGGUAAACAUGAUAAUUAUUUAAAAAGUUUGAUGUUACUAUUUGUUGUCUUAGAAUUUUGAAAUUUAGAUGUCUUAAAUGUCCUAUUUAAUCUCAACAAUUUUCCAACGACUGAACCUUCUCCGAUAAAGAUGUCCGCCUCCUCCACUAAACACCACCACAGGCAACCACCGUCCUCCUCCGAACUACACCGCAAUAAUCCCAACCCUAACAAUGCGGUGGCUCCUCCCGCACCUCCUUAAACAACAAUCCCCGACCUGCCACGAAUUGUUGAAACGAAGGUCUUACCAUAUGGAGCAGCUCUUGCAUUUAAUAAUAAUAAAACACAAAAGAAUAUAAAUUGGAACGCAUUGGUCAAAUGUCCCCGUCACAAUGUUCGGUAAAAACGUUGAAGGCAAGGACAAAAUGAUCAAUCCGGACAUCCUUUCCUCGCCAUCAGCGUCUUCGCCAAACGUACUAGGGUGAAUAGAGUCUAACUACCACGUCUCAACUUAACUUUUUAAAAAAUAAAUCAAUUUGUGUUUUGCUAUUGUCAUUAUAUUUACAGAUUAGUAUUAUUAUUAGUAACCGAUACUAAUAAAUUAAAAAAUAAUAAUAAAUUGAAUAGUUAAAUAAUUAAAUUUCUCAUGUAAUUAACUUGAUAAGUAUUUAAAACAUUAUUAGAUAUUUGUUUUGUUUGAGUAGAAAUUAAUUUCCUCGGCCAAUUUCCUGACUCCAUUAGAAAAUUUUAUUUACUCAUAAAUUCAACUUUGCUUUUGCGUCCGCAUCCUCUCUCUCUGUAGCUCCGCGCCUCCCCACUAGGGUUCAACCUCGCCGUCGCAUCUCUCUGAUCUGCCACCGGACAAUUUUCCUUCCUCCCUUCAGCUUUUCAAAUUCCGUAAGUGACACUCUCCUUGCCUUGAUUUUACUUCCGGAUUUCGAUUCUCUAUUCGUUUGUUUUUGGGGCCAAGUUUGAUCUUCUUCUAGUGUUCCUACUAUCCGAUUCGCGUUUUUUUUGGUUUGGUUCGCACUAUCCUGCUCGUCUGCUCUGUUCAUCAUACUUCUAAAUCUGAAUGCAUCUUUGUCGAACUAUCUAUUAGCUUGUAGUGAUUAGGUUUCGGUUCUCCAAGCCGAGUUUUUUUCUUCCUCUUUCGCCAUGAUCCGGAUUGACUACUCCUUUUAAGUUGGGGAUGUGCUUAACUUGCAGUUCAGCUAGUUUUAGUUGCGAUGUCGAUCUAUGGUUGUUGAUUUCAAUUUCAUAUUCUCAAUUUUAUAUGUGGAUGUUGGACUCAGUCAAUUUUGAUUUGGGUAAUAUUGAUAUGCUUUGUCCGCUCGAGAAAAUUGCAAGCUUUUCCAACAACUUUCAGCAGAGCUCUUUCGUUAGACUGAUCUUCACUUGAAAAUUCGUUUUUUUAAUCUCAACCACCCUAUUUGAUCGUGGGUGUGCUUAUUGAAAGGUGGGUCUUUCUCAGUUGCGAUUGGAUGGAAAAAUUUUGUUGUGUUAUUCCAGUGUUCCUACUAUCUGAUUGGCUUAUUGAAUGCUUACAAUUCAAUCUGAAUGCCUCUUUUUCGAACUGUGUACAGAUAGAUCAUGGCUAUGGAGGUGACACAGGUGCUUCUGAAUGCACAAUCGAUAGAUCGCAAUGUUCAGAAGCAAGCUGAGGAGAGCUUGAAUCAGUUCCAAGAGCAGAACCUCCCUGCUUUCUUGUUUUCUCUCUCUGGUGAGCUUGCCAAUGAAGAUAAACCUGCUGAUAGCCGCAGAUUAGCUGGUUUGAUGUUGAAAAAUGCACUGGAUGCUAAGGAGCAGCAUAGGAAGUUUGAGCUUGUUCAGAGAUGGUUGAUGUUGGAUGCUACUGUAAAGGCUCAGAUAAAAACAUGCUUGUUGAAGACACUCUCUUCUCUUGCACCUGAUGCUCGUAAACCUGCAGCUCAAGUAAUUGCCAAAGUUGCUGGAAUUGAGCUCCCCCAGAAACAGUGGCCUGAACUGAUUGGAUCCCUUUUGUCGAAUGUUCAUCAGCUACCUGCUCAUGUCAAGGAAGCAACCUUGGAGACUCUUGGGUAUCUGUGCGAGGAAGUUUCUCCGGAUGCUGUGGAUCAGGAUAACGUGAAUAAAAUCUUGACUGUUGUUGUUCAAGGAAUGAGUUCUUCCGAAGUGAAUACUGAUGUCAGACUGGCUGCUAUUCAAGCAUUAUAUAAUGCACUGAGCUUUGCUCAAGCAAAUUUCAGCAAUGACAUGGAACGUGAUUAUAUCAUGAGAGUUGUCUGUGAGGCUGCUUUGUCGAAAGAAUUGAAGAUCCGCCUAGCAGCUUUUGAAUGUUUGGUGUCUAUUGCAUCAAUGUACUAUGAGAAGUUAACUCCAUAUAUGCAAGAUAUCUUCACAAUCACAUCAAAAGCCGUGAGGGAAGAUGAAGAAGAUGUAGCUCUCCAGGCAAUUGAAUUCUGGAAUUCAAUUUGUGAUGAAGAGAUAGACAUAUUAGAAGAGUACGGGGUCGAGUUUACUGGGGACUCAGAUGCAGUUCAAUGCUCCUAUUUUGUCAAGCAGGCUUUGACUGUUCUUGUACCAAUUUUGUUGGAAACACUUUUGAAGCAAGAGGAAGACCAAGACAAAGAUGACACUGCUUGGAAUAUUGCAAUGGCAGGUGGAACAUGUCUUGGGCUUGUUGCACGUACUGUGGGAGAUGAUAUUGUUCCCCUUGUUAUGCCAUUCAUUGAAGAGAACAUAACAAAACCUGAUUGGAGGCAAAGAGAGGCAGCUACUUAUGCUUUUGGGUCAAUUUUGGAAGGUCCUUCUCCAGACAAGUUGACACCGAUUGUUAAUGUUGCUUUGAACUUCAUGUUAACAGCUUUAACAAAGGACCUGAAUACUCAUGUAAAAGAUACCACUGCCUGGACUCUUGGGCGUAUCUUUGAGUUUCUUCAUGGUUCAACGAUGGAUGCACCAAUCAUUACGCAGGCCAAUUGCCAACAAAUAAUUACUGUACUACUCCAAAGUAUGAGUGAUGCGCCAAAUGUGGCUGGGAAGGCU
rnacentral:lncRNA from 1 species